GACGGAGGGUGCUAGCGUUUGUUCGGAAUCACUGGGCGUAAAGGGCGCGUAGGCGGCCUUGCAAGUCGGUUGGUGAAAGCCCGGGGCUCAACCCCGGAGGUGCGGCCGAGACUGCAGGGCUGGAGGCCGGAAGAGGAGGGUGGAAUACCCAGUGUAGAGGUGAAAUCGUAGAUAUUGGGUGGAACACCGGUGGCGAAAGCGGCUCUCUGGUCCGGUUCUGACGCUGAGGCGCGAAAGCGUGGGGAGCAAACGGG
rnacentral:rRNA from 1 species